CAUACAUUUUUAAAUACGAAGAGAAUGUUAGAGAAUUUCAUCGAUGGAAGGUCAUUUUACUACUGAGAGGUAACGGUAGAAUACUGCUUUUGCAUUUUCCAACUUGACAGGGUUCAUUCGUCAAAAUCGAAUAUAAAGCGAAAUUACAAUAAUAGCAAGAUAGCCGUGGCAUACAAUUAGGUGUUAUUUUAUCAAUUGGUGAA